UCAACCUCACGCGGUUGAAAACGAACGUAAUACAAAGGGCUGUAUGGCUGUGUAAAAGCGUACUCAACAGUUUUGAGACAACUUGUGGCCGGUAAAUUUAAGAAGAAAAAUGAGCGGCUUAACAGAUGAACAGCGACGUAUGAUA